rnacentral:rRNA from 1 species
UACAGAGGGUGCAAGCGUUAAUCGGAAUUACUGGGCGUAAAGCGUGCGUAGACGGUUGCGUAAGUCAGAUGUGAAAGCCCCGGGCUCAACCUGGGAAUUGCAUUUGAGACUGCGUAGCUAGGGUGCGGAAGAGGGAAGCGGAAUUUCCGGUGUAGCGGUGAAAUGCGUAGAUAUCGGAAGGAACACCAGUGGCGAAAGCGGCCGACUGGCCGAGUGCUGACGCUGAGGCGCGACGGCGUGGGGAGCAAACCGG